GCGGGUCUGCCUUCUCUGCCACCUUUUUAACUGUGUUUCCUGGCCCUCAGUGGAAGCCCAGCCCCUGCGGUGGGGAACAGUGAUGCUCCUCAGCAGGAAGUUGGCCGCUUUUCAGCUCCAGCCACAGCACAACUGUGAUACCCGUUUAUGCCGGACACUCCUGAGGGCUCCGCCGUGAGGCCGCUCUGACCUGCCAGCUCUGGAAGAUGGUUCUGCUCUACCCAGAAAGUCUCAUUAUAUCUUCAGGGCAAACCAGCUCAGUCCUGCCAGCAUGAAACCUGCUCAGCUCCUCCUCCUCCUGCUUUUCCAGUCUCAAGUUUCACAAACCAGCUCAACCCCACAAAUUGUGAAUGGGGCUCUGGGGGAGUCAGUAGUGCUUCCCCUGCAGUUUUCUGCAGAGAAGAGGAUUAUCUCUAUCGUCUGGCUUCACAACGGAAUGUCUAUCGCCUUCACACAGUUAGAAGGACAAAGUUCACUGACAUAUAUAACUGAUCCAAAAUGGAAAAAUCGAUUGAGUGUCACUAACUCCCACUCCUUGCAAAUCAGCAACCUGACAAUGGCAGAUGCAGGAUCUUACAGCACCCACAUAACCACAAUGACCUCUUCAGUGGUGUCCACUUAUGAUCUGAGGAUCUUCAAGAGACUGCCAAGGCCUCAAGUUCAAGUGGAUUCCCUCUCCUGUGAGCACAGCACCUGUACUGUCACCUUGAGGUGUUCCGUGGAGGAAGGAGGAGAGAACAUCAUAUAUGAGUGGACAAAAACAGGACCAAGGACUGUUCUGACCCAGGAAGGAUCAGUCCUCAGUGACUCCUGAGGAACUACACCUGCACAGCUACGAACCCUGUUAGCAACAGCACGUCCAGCCUCAACCUUGUUCAGCAGCUUUGUGCAGGUUCCAAGGCAGCUACAGGCGCUUUCUCCCCAGUGACAUGGAUUCUCCUCGGAAAGGGGCUUCUCCUUGUAUCCUGGGGGUUCUAGGAACUUGGCACUUCCAGACACAGGUACUCAGUAGACCUCUCAAGUCAAUUCAGGGCAAUAAAAGCACUAGUGCCCCAGAAUAGUCAGGCUGUGUCCUGGAUGAGGCCAUCACUCCUCCAUAGCUCAGUUAAGUCCCAUUUACUGACAUGUAUACCUUUCAAGGUGCACUGCUAUAUAUUUUCAAAGGCCAGUUUCAUAUCCUGGCAUGUGUGAGCCCAAAUGCACACACAUUGCAUGAGAAUGAGGAAGUUUUAGCAAGAAAAGAUAAAAUAACUGCAUGAAAACCAUGUUUUCUAGUCUAAGAAGUAUUUUCCUCCAUAAUUUAAGCUUUCUGAAAUCAAGAUGAAUCAUAAUGUUGGUGUGUGUGGCUAAAAGAGAUAAUGUACUUUUCUCUUAAAAGGCUUUUUAUUAAAAUGAUCCUGCUUUUAAAAAUCCA